UUUUUUGUGGGAAACAACAAGAGUUUCCGCCAAACUGGCUGAAGAGAUUUAUCUAUUUUAAUUUAUUUAUUUUAAAAAUUACAUGCUUCAAACCAAAGGUUAAUAAAUAACCUCUAAGAAUUGUUUCUUUUACCUGCUGAAUCCAGCAGCUAAUGGCAUGAACUCUAAAAAAAAGCAAAGUUGAUUAGCCUCUAUACUAACAAUCAAUCAAAUCGUUCUUACAUAAAGAAACUCUCUCAUGUUGAGCUUUGGUGGGAAUUCUCAAAUUGGGAUCCUCUCUAAUGCAAGGUUUUUGAGAGCCAAAACCAUUUUUUGAGAUAAAAAAAAGUUGAAAAUAACCCCCCAUGUUUUUCUAUAUAUAAACCACUUGCAUAGACAUAGAUUCAUACACAAUCAUUUUUUUUUCUUUCAUCUUUUUUCUACCGAUUAUUUCCUUCUCUCUAAAUCUUCUUUCUUUUUAUUAUUGAGCUAUUGAACGAUUAUAUUUUUGUAAAUAUUGCAAGUGAAUUUAUCGGCAUAAGAGGUGAAUUCAUCACCUAAAGAGUGGAAUUGAUCGCCAUGAGAAAUGAAAAGCUCUGUAAACUGGUUUUGCAAUCAUGAAUCUUCUACUAUCUACUUUUGCUUCCGAUUUAUAAAACUAAUCAUUUUUAUGCUUUUGCAGGUAUUGUAGGUUAAAUGAUACGAAUGACAGGAAAAGCAAUAUGAACUGGUUUGUUUACUUAAAUCUCAUAUUAUCUAAAUUUCUUCGGUUUUAUAUUUUGUUUGAUUAUUCUAUUAUUAGUUAAUUUAUUUAUUGUCAUGCUUUUACUUUUUUUUUCCUAUCUAUUACUCCACUUACAUAUUUCAUCCUACCUACAGUAUAAAAAUGAUAUUAUAUCUUAUAUUAACAAUUUAUAUUCUUCAGAGUUUUCCAGGUAGUUUGUUCUCACAGAAAGCUUCUUGGCAUCAUUUACAUGAUCGAAAAGAAGAGCAUCAUUUACACAGUUGUCUUUAAGCCAGCAGUCUGUAGAAAAAAAUUAUGAUUUAUUCAAUGAGUAGCAAAAUCUGCUGCUAGCCUGCUAUUAAAUUCUAUUUUAGAAUUUGUAUAUAUAUCACAACUGAAUGAACUAAUCAUAUUAUAUCCACUUACCCGCGUUGAG